UACGAAGGGGGCUAGCGUUGCUCGGAAUUACUGGGCGUAAAGGACGCGUAGGCGGACAGUUUAGUCAGAGGUGAAAGCCCAGGGCUCAACCUUGGAAUUGCCUUUGAUACUGGCUGUCUUGAGUUCGGGAGAGGUGAGUGGAAUUCCGAGUGUAGAGGUGAAAUUCGUAGAUAUUCGGAAGAACACCAGUGGCGAAGGCGACUUACUGGACGACUGUUGACGCUGAGGUGCGAAAGCGUGGGGAGCAAACAGG
rnacentral:rRNA from 1 species